rnacentral:lncRNA from 1 species
GACAUGCUCUGGAAAACACAGACAUUCUCAGGAAACUGCAGUCUGCUGAAAAUGCCAGGAGAUUUCAGGAGACUGGGCUCUUCAUUAGGACUUGGCAUCUUUCGUUGGUUUUGCAUAGGGAAUGGAUCAACACUUUUUAUCUGAUCAUCUGUUUGUCCAAGUCUUUGUUUUUUCUAAUCCUGUUUCAAAUGGAUAAGAUCUUAAGGCAUAAGAGAAAAUUCAUUCAUGGGACCAAGGAAAGUAGAUGCUGUCAAGUUACCCAAAUCAUGACCCAUGAGCACU